rnacentral:rRNA from 1 species
CCCUUAGAUGUUCUGGGCCGCACGCGCGCUACACUGACGAAUGCAACGAGCUUAUAACCUUGGCCGAAAGGUCUGGGUAAUCUCCAAAUUUCGUCGUGAUGGGGAUAGAUUAUUGCAAUUAUUAAUCUUCAACGAGGAAUGCCUAGUAAGCGCAAGUCAUCAGCUUGCGUUGUUUACGUCCCUGCCCUUUGUACACACCGCCCGUCGCUCCUACCGAUUGAAUGGUCCGGUGAAGCGUUCGGACCGUGGCCUUUGGACGGUUCGCCGUCUGUUGGCUGCGGGAAGUUCGUUAAACCUUAUCAUUUAGAGGAAGGAGAAGUCGUAACA